UUGACGGGGCCCGCACAAGCGGUGGAGUAUGUGGUUUAAUUCGAUGCAACGCGAAGAACCUUACCUGGUCUUGACAUCCCGGAGACCCUUAGGAAACUAGGGGUGCUUCCAUCUGGAAGAAUCUGGAGACAGGUGCUGCAUGGCUGUCGUCAGCUCGUGUCGUGAGACGUUGGGUUAAGUCCCGCAACGAGCGCAACCCUUGCCUUUAGUUGCCAGCAGUUCGGCUGGGCACUCUAAAGGGACUGCCGGUGUUAAACCGGAGGAAGGUGGGGAUGACGUCAAGUCCUCAUGGCCUUUAUGACCAGGGCUACACACGUACUACAAUGGCCGAUACAAAGGGCAGCGACACUGCGAGGUGAAGCCAAUCCCAUAAAAUCGGUCUCAGUCCGGAUUGGAGUCUGCAACUCGACUCCAUGAAGUUGGAAUCGCUAGUAAUCGUGGAUCAGCAUGCCACGGUGAAUACGUUCCCGGGCCUU
rnacentral:rRNA from 1 species